CACUGGAAAAACCAUAGCCUUGAUGAGAUGGACCUUUGUUGGCAAAGUAACAUCUCUGGUUUUUAAUAUGCUAUCUAGGUUGGUCAUAAGUGCAGUGCAGCCAAAAAAAAAAAAAAGUCAUGAUACCACCGAUCAGCCUUAUGAGCUUAUAUGAAGAAGCUGGGUUUCCUUGUGUGUGAAGUUAGAUGGAAAUAAAACAAGAUGAGGCCACUGUGCUAAAUAAGGUCAAUGCAUGUUAAGCUCUUAGCAAAUCCCUGACACACAGUAAUUUCUCUUUCAAAAUUAACUGGUACUUCUUCUCGUUGAGUCUAAGUCAUGUCCGACUCUUUGUGACCCCGUGGCCUGCAGCCCACCAGGCUCCUCUGUCCAUGGAGUUUCCCAGGCAAGCAUACUGGAAUCGGUUGCCAUUUCCUUUCUCCAGGGGAAUGUCCCAACCCAGGGUUGGAACCCAAGUCUCCUGCAUUGGCAGGCAGAUUCUUUACCGCUAAGCCACCUGGGUGGUGUUGUUGUUAUACAGAGACCAAACCUGAAACCUGAAACCCCCUCUUUCCACCCACUUCUCUCCUUUCUGCACGGAACCUGUGUAUGUGAGAUUGUGACACACGAGGUCUAUUCAAGACACAGGGUCAAGAGCUGGUACCCUCACUGACUCAUCGGAGCUCCCAAACUCUGUGGCCUUGUGACAGUACCAGUGUUGCCAGAUAAGAAAGUUAUUAUCCCCGUUUUACAAUGGAACCCCCUGAGGCUCAGAAUGGGAACAGGAACCUCCACAGAGCCCUCAACCAGCAGAACCAGAGUCAGGAGGCCACUUCCACUGCAACUCUUCCUGCUCUGCUCCCUGGCACCCCCUCCCAUUCACGCCGGUCAGGAAGCUUUCCAGCCCCAAACUGUGACUCAAACACUGGAGUUAGCACCUGCGUUUUCCAGCUGCAGAAACUGAAACUUGACACUGAGUCACUUGCUGAUAAGUGGCAGCGCUGGGAUUCGAACCCCGGCUCCAGGGCCGUGUCUCAUCCUACCUCCCACACUUUUUACCGGAACAGUUGUUGACUCAGCCCUGGGUGCCCCGGGGCGGGGGUGGGGGGGUGGUGGACAGCUAGACCCAGAGAUGAGGAGGCAAGGGUGGGGUACAGCAAGACAGCCUCCUGGGGGAAGGUAUAGUGAGUAAUAAUCACACUGACAAUCAGAGUUGUGUUCAGCUCGAGCCCCCACAUUGGGAGCUCUUUAUCCUACACAAAUCUCCUUCCCACCAUCGGCUGAUCCAGCCCUCACCUGGAUCAAUCCGCACCUGGAUGUAGCGAUCUACUUCCGUGGGGCGGGCGCCUAGCCCAGGGCAGUGACGGCGGAU
rnacentral:lncRNA from 1 species